rnacentral:rRNA from 1 species
GCGGUAGAGUCUCUUCGGAGACUUGAGAGCGGCGUACGGGUGCGUAACACGUGCGCAACCUGCCUCUAUCUGGGGGAUAGCCUUCCGAAAGGAAGAUUAAUACCCCAUAAUAUAAUGAUUGGCAUCAAUUAUUAUUGAAAACUCCGGUGGAUAGAGAUGGGCACGCGCAAGAUUAGAUAGUUGGUGGGGUAACGGCCCACCAAGUCGAUGAUCUUUAGGGGUCCUGAGAGGGAGAUCCCCCACACUGGUACUGAGACACGGACCAGACUCCUACGGGAGGCAGCAGUGAGGAAUAUUGGACAAUGGGUGGAAGCCUGAUCCAGCCAUCCCGCGUGAAGGACGACGGCCCUAUGGGUUGUAAACUUCUUUUGUACAGGGAUAAACCUCCCCUCGUGAGGGGAGCUGAAGGUACUGUACGAAUAAGCACCGGCUAACUCCGUGCCAGCAGCCGCGGUAAGACGGAGGGGGCAAGCGUUGUUCGGAAUCAUUGGGCGUAAAGGGCUCGUAGGCGGACUAGAAAGUCUGGCGUGAAAACUCCACCGCUCACCGGGGAGAGGUCGCUGGAUACUGCUAGUCUUGAGUUCGGUAGAGGAUCGUGGAAUUUCGGGUGUAGCGGUGGAAUGCGUAGAUAUCCGAAAGAACACCGGUGGCGAAGGCGGCGAUCUGGGCCUGAACUGACGCUGAGGAGCGAAAGCUAGGGGAGCAAACGGGAUUAGAUACCCCGGUAGUC